UUAAAUAGUGAAUUGCUUGUGGUUAUGUUCCUUUGUGCAGAGACUUCAUAUAUGAUUGAUAACAUAUAAAUUUACAUAAUGUUGAACUUCUAGACCUCUCUCUGAGCUUCUUUCAUUAUUCUCAGUCACAAAUCCAAACCCACGACUCUGGUCGGUUUUCCUAUAUAUUGUAUAUAUCUCUUGAACUAAACAAAUGUAAAAAGAAAGAAUAUUCAAAACCAAAAGUAUGAAAGUUCCAUCUAAUGUUAAUAUAUGUAGAUAUAUUCAAUCCACACAAUUCUGAACACUGCAAUAACUAUUUCAAACCAGAGAUGCUCCGACUGUUCCGACUUUCUCAAAGAGCAUAGCUAAAGCCUGGCUGUCAGCAUCAUAAGCCAAAUUUUCAACGAACAGCUUUGCUUCUUCCAGUGGCUCCAGGAAUUCGCCACCUUCACUCACAUCUCCUUCCUCAUUUGAAAACGUUGCGUUUGGGUCAAUUAUCUCCUCAACAUGUAAAUAUGUUAGCUGACAAAAACUGUGGCUAAGAAGUUACCAUUCGUUGUCAUUUUUGUAGCCUGCAGAAUGUAGAAGCUUUCUUCCCUGCUGGGCCAUCACUUGAGCUAUUGAACAUCGGUGAAGUUUCAAACUUUGAACGUACAGAACCAUAACCAAAUCAGAAGACAUCAUGAUUGUCUCCACAAGUUAGAAUCAAAGAAAAAAAACAAAAAAUGUUUCCUGGUGGAGUCUCCAACUCAUGAUGAUUGUUGAUAAGGAGAUUAUCAUGCUCUUUCUCACGCCUCUCAUCUCGAGGAAGAAAGAUAGCUCUUCAUCUUCCUCUGUCAUCAUAGAAGCCCUAAGCUGUUGUCUCUGCCUCUGCUGAAUAUCCAGCAAUAGAGACUCAUGUGCCCUAAAGGUUCAAUUCAUCUCUCAACCAAAUUUACAGAACACUAAGAGUCCUAUCUCUAUUUUGAUAUUCUUUUGUUUUAAAAUCUUCAUUGAUUGAAGAAUUUAAUUUUUCUUCUACCUGAUCAAUGGAUUUCAAAUUGCUUUUCUUCAAUCCAUCUGCCUCCCAUCCCAUGGAAACAUCUUUGUCUCUGGAAAUAUGAAUCCCGUGAACUAUUUUCUUUUUUUACAUCUUGGGCAUUGGUUAUAGGUUAAACCAGUUAAUAUACUGAUUAAUGAUUAAUGUAAUUUAAUUAGAAUUGAUUAAUGAUUAGUGAUAGUUUAUUUUCUAAGGAAUGGUAUAUUUUAAAAUAUCACACAUGAAAAAAAUCAUGACUUCUGUUUUAAUAUAUAAGAUAUGAAUACACGUCUAGACUAAUUUGGUUCGAAAAGUUAUACCAGAAAUUCGAGUUUUGUUGAUGCUUAACCGGAAUAAUACACGGUUCGGUUAGAAAUAGAAAAGAAAACACCAAGACAAAGUCAAUGGUCAAUGAGAUGAAUUACGAAUACAAGUUUCCAAGAGCUUCAUAUUUUUAACACAAGUAGUCAUCGUCCACACAUAUACAUAUAUAUAUAUAUAUAGUCUUCAUCUUGUUCCCUUCUAAGAAUCAAAUCAUAAGAAAGAUUCAAUCGAUGAGUGUGGUUGUGGCUAUAGUGUUUGGAGCGUUUCUCUUGCUAAUGUUCAUCCUAUGGCUCAUCCAUUUUCUCUACCAUAAAGGUAAGCUAGACGUGGCAACAAAAGCAGCUAUAGUUCCGCAGUAUGAUUGAAUUUAAUCGAGAUUGUGACAACAUGCAAUUUUGAUAUUUAUGUGAGAUGUAUAUUUACUUUUGUAGGAAAUGAUUGUAUAUGAGUCUAGGAGGGUGUUCCUAGUUUUACAUGACAAUUUUAGUUCGAUGUCGUAAUUUAAUGUUAUUUUUAUGUAUUUAUAUAUAGGUAUGUUUGCUUAUUCUUUUUAUGUAUGUAUAUAAAAGACUAUAAUCUAUCUAUUAUUAUAAAACACUGUUUUCUCUCCUGUGAGAACGUCACCUAGGAUUUCACCUAGGAAAGUCGAGUCCUGGCGUUGCAACACGUGUCCGGGCUGAUAGAGCACUGCGUUUCAUUUAAGUUAGAGUGAUAUUCAUGCGGGCUUUGCUACUUCAUGGUUUAUUGGGCUACGAAAAAUAAUAAAAAAUCUAGCCCAGUUGCCGAGCUCUCCUUCUUCUACAAUGGCCGCUUACAGAUUCGUAGGUUUCCCGUCUUCUUCUUCUUUAUGUAAUCCGAGCAACCGACGGUGUAGAUUCUGGAUGCAGCCGUUACGGAAAAUGCAUUGAUGCGAUGCCAUUGACGACAUUCUUAACUCCUUAGCCCCACACCAUCCACGAUAAAUCAUUCAUUGCAUCUUAACUCUCAUCAAGGCGGUGGAACUUGAUCUAUAAGAAGGUAAACUUUCUUUGCGUAAAACUCAUCUCACAACUCCUACAGCACUACAAAUUUCUGAAAAACUUCUUUCUCUCCAUCAUCCAUAACAUUUACUCUUCACCGCAACAAAACUGGCGAACCCUAACCUCCCCAUCGUUUGCGGAGGACUGUAAUGACCGGACUCUUGCCGUCGUGUCUGGAUUGCAUAGAGUUUGAGAUAUGCGGAGCAUAGACGUGGCCGUGUUACUGACUCAGGAAACAAAGGAAGAGUAACGGCAACGGGAGUCCAGCAGACUAAAAGAUGCACUCUUAGAGAGGCGGAGGCCGAGGACAAUAUCAGCUGCGAGAAUUUUGAAAUAUCCAAAAGUAAACCUUCAAGAGAAUCAGUUAGAAAAGUAGUUCGUGAACAAGAGAAGGAAGUUAUGUUAUUUGAUAAUGAUAGUGGUGGCUCUUACAAGGCGGCUGCACAUGAAAAAGAUGGAGAUAAUGCUCUUUUCCCUGAAAGUGAUGACAACAGUUCAACAUGGUACGAGAACGAACUACUAUGGGCACCUUCGUCGCCAAAAUAACUGAAGAUCGGUAUUGUUCUCUCCAAAGGUGAAGUACCUGGUGGGUGCACACUGUCAUACAUGAACCAUUCGUGUUGUGUGCAGGUUGAUGUUGUCCUAAGAUUAUCAUCUCUAAGUUUUCUUGAUGUUGUAUAAAAGACAUGCAUUGAGAGCUGAAGAAGCAUCUCAUCACUGCUAGAUAUAUUGAUGAUGAAAUAUCCAUGUUACAUGAGAUGGCUAAGAAUGCUUGGAUAACGGUUCUUAGUGAAGCAACAUCCCACAAUAGUGUGAAUCUCACUUAGCCUUUAGUUUGAAUCUCAACCCUCUUAAUAGUGUGUGUCAGAGGAAAAAUGUGUGUUACCCUAUAUAUCUAUAUCUAAAUUAUACUAUAUAUCUAUGUUAAUAUCAUUAAAAUUUAAUUAUAUAUCAUAUACGAUAGAUAAAAUUGAUUGUUUUGAUUUAUUUACCCUAAAAUGAUUGCGAAUAAACAAAAGCGGUCAUUUGAUUUAUAUGCGCACGUCAAUUUAUUACAUAAUAGUAACUGAUUUCUUAGUUAUUUAAUAUAUAAUUAUUAUUUUAUUAUUUCAAAAUAUGCAAAAAACAUAAAAAUGAAUAAAUAUAAAAUAUUUAUUCUGCACUAGGUGCGGAUCUUAACUUAAGUAUGUAUCUCUUUAAUAAUUUUAAAUCUUAAACAUUUUUUAAAUCUCAAGCCAAAACAAAAUGACGAAAUGAGAAUAAACUCAAAAAUCAAUAUUUAUAUUAAGCAAUAACCAAAAUGAAAAAUACGACA